rnacentral:rRNA from 1 species
GACGAACGCUGGCGGCGUGCUUAACACAUGCAAGUCGAGCGGUAAGGCCCUUUCGGGGGUACACGAGCGGCGAACGGGUGAGUAACACGUGGGUGACCUGCCCUUAGCUCUGGGAUAAGCCUGGGAAACUGGGUCUAAUGCCGGAUAUGACCUCAUGACGCAUGUUGUGGGGUGGAAAGCCUUGUGCGGCUAGGGAUGGGCCCGCGGCCUAUCAGCUUGUUGGUGGGGUGAUGGCCUACCAAGGCGACGACGGGUAGCCGGCCUGAGAGGGCGACCGGCCACACUGGGACUGAGACACGGCCCAGACUCCUACGGGAGGCAGCAGUGGGGAAUCUUGCGCAAUGGGCGAAAGCCUGACGCAGCGACGCCGCGUGAGGGAUGACGGCCU